rnacentral:rRNA from 1 species
UACAGAGGGUGCAAGCGUUGUUCGGAAUCAUUGGGCGUAAAGGGCGUGUAGGCGGUUUGCUAAGUCAUGUGUGAAAGCCCUCGGCUUAACCGAGGAACGACGCAUGAAACUGGCAGCUAGAGUACUAAAGAGGGUCGCGGAAUUCCCGGUGUAGAGGUGAAAUUCGUAGAUAUCGGGGAGGAACACCGGUGGCGAAGGCGGCGACCUGGGUAGAUACUGACGCUGAGGUGCGAAAGCGUGGGGAGCAAACAGG